CAGACUUCCUCCGCACUCCCCCUCCCCAGCCAACCCGCUUCUCAACCUGAGUUGACACCAUCCCUUGAGAGGACUUUGUGAGAGGGUGAAGGGGGAAAUGGUCUACUGCUAUCAGACUUCCUGUUAUGACUGUGGUGCAGAGUUAACAGCUGGGACACUCAGGAUACAUCUACACUGCAUUAAAAGACCGAAGGCUGGGUCACCUCACUCAGGAUCAUGUCUAUAAAAUUGCAUUGUAGAUGUUCAGCCUUGGGGACCAAGCUUCAGCCUGAAAUUGAAUAUCUGCCCUACAACUGUAUAUCCCUGCAGCCUGAGACCAGUACAAUUGAUCCAAGACAGCCACAGCCCACAGCCUCUGCUUGCUCUGGACCAACUCAGCAUUGUAUACUCGUCUAUGGCUCGUUUUGGCAGAUGAGUUGGCAUUCGUAAUUGGAUACUGAUU